rnacentral:rRNA from 1 species
UACAGAGGGUGCGAGCGUUAAUCGGAAUUACUGGGCGUAAAGCGCACGUAGGUGGCGACGUAAGUCGGGUGUGAAAGCCCCGGGCUCAACCUGGGAAUUGCAUUCGAGACUGCAUUGCUGGAGUACGGAAGAGGAGGGCGGAAUUCCCGGUGUAGCGGUGAAAUGCGUAGAUAUCGGGAGGAACAUCAGUGGCGAAGGCGACUACCUGGCCUGUUCUUGACGCUGAGGCGCGAAAGCUAGGGGAGCAAACGGG